AGAAAGCUGUCAAGACCAUCCAGACCUGAAAAUACCUGAUAGGGGGAUGGGAAACAAAAACAUGACUUCUCACAGUAGAUCCUUAAUUGGUGAUCGAAAAUUGGUUUAAAAGUGUCCUAACUAAUCUUUUUUGAAGGGAAAGUCAGAAAUACAUUCAAACUCACAGUGUGUACCUCUGAGAGACAGUGGCUCAUUCAAGUAUCACUUAUCCAUUUGGGUCUUCAUUCAUUCACUCAUUCCCCAAAUCCUAACUGAGUACGUACUAUAAAACAGACACUUGCCAGGUAUUGGGGGAUGGAGGGUCUGAGUAGGGGUAAAGAUUAAUUAGGUAAUAAAAUCCAGAUUUCUUUUAAAAACAAUCAGAAAAUCUCACAAGGCUGGACCCACAUUCUCACACAAUAAUGAUUGCUGGCGCUGAGUCACUGGGGACCUACUAGGUGAAGCAGGAAUCCCUGAGUGCCUACAGCUCCCAUCCCCAAAGCUACAUCAUUACAGCAUUCCUUCAUGUUACCUACCUGUCAUUACCUAUGGACGUCUGAAUUCAUGAAUCUGAGCUCACGAAUUCUCAUUGAGAGAACCUUUCCAAUGAAAUACCCAUCGGAUGCCCUUUGCUGAGAGCCCGGAGUAGAACCAGUGCUAAAUUUCUAAGAGAGAGACAAAUACCUAAAUAACUCUAUUGCAAAAUAAAAGGUAUUAUCAGAAAGGGAAGGAUGAAAUGCUUUGAACAUUUAGGGGACAGGGAAAUUGUUUCUGGAGACUGGUACACAUCAGAAAUGGCUUCCUGGCAGAUGUAGCACCGAAUCUGGGACUUGAAUGAUUACAUUUUUUCCAUCAAUUCAACAAAUAUUUGCUAGAAGCCAGCUAGCCAGAAUGCUUUAUAGAAGAUGCACUCAGAAUUGGCUAGUUAUGAGGGAGCUGUUUGUCAACUGCUAAUUUUCUGUGGUUUGCUCUUCUUCCCUUUCCUUUUACAUUCACAAAUUGGGAAAGUUAAACUUGUAGAUCACUUUGGGGAUUGUCAAAGGGUGGCUUCUGGUAGAUACUGGUUUCUCCAAGCCAGGCAAACCUGCAUUCACUCAGCAUAUAUUUUCAAGUCUGGACUAUGUACCGUCCACUAUGACAGGAGUCAGAAAUACAGUGAUGAGUGCUGGCCCUGUCCCAUGUAAUUUACAGCCUUUUUGGAGAGAGAGGCAGUUUCAGUGACCUCACAAAUACAUGCAGGAGUGUAACUGUGAUGAGUACUGCAAAGGGAAGAGGGCCCUUGUUGCUAAAGGACUUAUAAGAGGAGUUGGCCAUGUCAGAAGGAUCAGGGAAGGCCUUACUGAGGCAUGAGGCUUCCUGGUGUGAAUAGCAGUUAACAGGUGGAGGGAGACCAGGUUCCAGGUGGAGGAAAUAACAUGUGUGUGGGCUCCUUUCCAGAAGAGCUGGAGAGAAGAGAGAUGAAAGGAAGGUGAUGCAGGAUGAAGCUGGAGGAGUAAGAAGGGGUUUGAUGAUAUAGCAGGCCCAGUCAAAGAAUCUUGUCUUUAUCCUAAGAGUCAAGAGAAGUUGCUGAGAAUUUUUAAGCAGGAAAGGGUGAUGAUCAUAUUUAUAUUUUGGAAAGAUCCUCCAACCUGCUCUCUGUGUUAAAACAGUUGAGUUCAUAUAUCUUCUGGCUGCAAUAAUGGGAAUGAACACAAGGCAGGACAGAGUACAUGGGGGGAGGCCGGUUAGCAAGCUAGUGUUGAGUUCAGAAGGAAGAUGAUGUUCUUUUGACUAGGAUGCUGGUGAUGGAGGGCAAUGAAAAAAUCUGAGAGAUAAAUAGGAGCUAAAUCAACAAUAUAAUGGGCUGAACAUGGAGGAGAAAAAAAGAAAAGAGUCAAACAUAUCUUCUAGGUUCCUCUCUGCCAUGCAUAAUUGGAUGGAUGGAAUACCAUUCACUAAAAUGAAUCACCACUUGGCUUUGUUCUAAGACUGCUGUGUACAGUUGUGUGAGUUGUGUACUACACCAGGGCAUCUGGCUAAUUAACAAAGGCAGAAGCUGAAAGUCAGCCCAUUCUCUGCUUGCCAAGACACAUAUCCCCAUGUAGGGUCAUGUCUACCCAGGUGGGAGGGGCAGCUUCUUAUAAUUUGCAAAAAAUAGCUAUCCAUUUGGCUAGAUAAAAAGUUAUACCUUUUAACCAGCAUUGCAGGCAUCCAAGAAGGCCCACAUAGGGUACUACGAGUGGGAGGGAGCACUAAAGGUGGUAAAGCCAGGGCCAGGAUACCUGGAUGGUAGAGACAAGGGCUGAAGAAGGUGAUGAGAAAAUGAGAGAGUGCAAAAAAUAUCAAGCUCAGUUUAUUUAUCCUGCAGUGGCUAUCUCUGGCAUUUCCUGGACUCCUGACCCACAGGGAGGGAUCCUGCCUGUGGCUCACCCUUCCUGUUAUUUUAAUUCUUUUGUUGGAUGCCUUUAAUGAAUGUAGACAUGGACACUCAUACAUCAGAGAGCAGAAGUACUUUAAGAACCAUCUAGCCCUACUCUUUCAUUACACGGAUGAGAACGCUGAGGUCCAGGGAAAUGGAAAGCUUUGCUCUGUCUCCUGCUGGGACAAGAUCCUUAAUCGCCUGAUUCCUCACAUCAUGCUGAUCUUUCCUCUAACAAGAAAUUGACUGAGCUUUCACAGACAACGAGGCAACACCUGAAAGAGCAAAGAUACCAAGUCAGAUUCAUCUGAGUUUGGAUCUCUGCUUGCCAUUCUUUGUUGUGUGAUUUUUGACAAGUUACUUAAUCUCUCCAAGCUUCACUUUCCCCACCUGUAAAAUGAAGAUUAAAAACACCUUGAAGGUGGGCUGUGAGGAUUAACGUAAAGCCUUUGGGAUAGGGUCUGAUAUUCACGAGCCACCAUCUAGACCACAUUCUCUACUUAUGUUGACUUCUCCAGCCCCUGUCUCUUCCCUACCCUUUCUCUAUUCUCAAAGGGUUUGCAGGGAUUCUGCAGAAAAUUUAUUCUUUGGAAAUUCUUUGUGGAACUCAACACAAAUUCAGCAUAUCAAAUAAACGAAAUAUUAAGAAAUGACUCUACCUUUUCCCCUAACCUUUCACUUAGGGUUCUGAUCCCUAAGAUGCAAAUGGCAAUUAACCCUGCACCCCACACUAGCCCUCUACCUCUCCCUAUGAUGACUCUGCACAGAUCUCAGGAAGCUUUAUGUGAAAAUAACACCUUGGAACUAGAAGCAGAAGGAACUAGAGAGGUUUCUGCUGGAAGCAUAAUAUAAAAGCCAGUUUUGAAGAAGGCGGGGGGUGGUGGGGGCUCAGAAAAAUGAGCGAUUACCAGAAGGAACUUUUUUUCUCCCAACAUGAUUUUUGAUGGCUCAUAGUUACUUUCAUUUGUUCCGUGACUUUGAGAGGCUGACAAAUAGCAGCCUCAUUCUGAAUGCCUAUUGUUACUCCUGAGGUUUUAUGUAGAGUAGAAAAGAUUGUUUUGAACGUUUCUCAUGGACAAGUGGAAGCUGUACUCUUGCUACAAAUGAUUCAUGUGGGAGAAAUGAUAUAUAAACAAGAUUGCCUGCUUGGAGAGUGGAUGAGAGGGUGAGUUAUUUCAGAAGGGCUCUUCACUUUCAUGCCAGCAAAUGAUAAAAGCUAGCUCUCAGAAUGGCAGGGGUGCUAUGGAAUGGAGGCUUCAGAAACUUUUUGACUCUUACAUUUUAUAGUCAAUGUCAAAAAAAUGUAUUAUAAAUUUCUGACUAAGUCCAGUUACUUUUUCAUGGUGAUGUAGCAAUAGGUUGAUUCAACCUUGGGCCUUGUCCUGUCAGUGUGUUGAGGCUGAAAGAGCCUGGGUUCUGGAAGCUGAGCCUCUGGGGUAAGGUAGGUGCCUAAGGGGCAAAAUUUCAGGAGGCACCUACUCUCAGGGUCAUACAGGCACAGAGUCAGCACUUGCACAAUCCUGUAAGUGAGUGCCUCCUUAAAUUUUGCCCUCUGGGUCACCCUCUUUUCUCACCCAAAUCCGGGCCCUGGAAUUGAAUUAGAAUCAAGACUCCAUCACUUAUUGGUGGUGCAACUUUAGGGAAUCAGUUAGGAUUAGUCUUGGCUAUAACAGAAAAAAGCCAAGUGAGAGUGGCUUAUUUCUCUAUUACAUAAAAAUCUAGAGCAAUACAGGACAGGGCUGGCAUAAUGUCCCCAUUGCAUAAAGUCAUCAGAUCCUAGUUCCUUCCAGUGCACUUUUCUGCCAUUCCAAGGGUUUUGCCUUCAUGAUUCAAAAUGACACAUCCACAUUCUAGGCAGCAGGAUGGAGGAAGGUGACUAAACCAUGUGACUAUAUUACUGAUUUUUAAAAUAUAACAAAAUUAUAAUUAUAAACAUGUAGAAUAGAUUGUAAAAGCCCAAACAAUACAAAAAUAAAAUAUAUUUUUGGAUUGUUAAAUCACCUAUAAUUGUUAUUUCUAUCAGCCCCACUCCAAAUUCCCAGCCUAAGCAUCUAGUUUAUUGCAACUAUUAAGGACUGAGCCAGUCUUGAUUCCCACAAUUGAAAAUGUUUUCAGAAGGAAUUAUUCUUAUGGAAGCUCAUAAAAUGUUCUUAAACCCAUAGGUUUGAAAAUAAGAAAAUUAUCUAGAGUGGAGUGGUAGACAGCUGAGUUAUCUGCCUGCCCAGCACUCACUUCCCAUUCUGGCAGGCAUACUUCAAUUUUGGUUUGGGGAACAAACUACCAGGUUCCUUUGCUUACAGACUUGGUAGAAAUUGUCAUUUGGGCUACAGAUGGGAAGACGUAGAAAUGUAACUCAAACUAGGACCAUAAUAUCCCUCUCUCUUCGAAUAAUUUGUCUCUUGGAUAUGGUUAAAAAGCAUAGACAUAUGACUGGGGAUCAUUUUCUCUAACAGAGACAUGGAACUCAAACAAAUUCCCUGAGCUGCUUUGGAUCCUGUUCUUUCUGAGGCCUGAUACUUCAGCGUCUUCAAAUCUAAUUUGCAAUGCCCCAUAUCCUUCCAGUACACCUCUUCUAUUUAAGUUACCUAGAGUCCAUUUAUGUUGCUUGCAAUCAAGAACCCUAACUGACAAAAGAAGCUAUUCACUUUUCUACCCAAAUAUUUGAAAUUAUACAGGUUGGUCUCUCCUACCUUGUUAAUUAUACCUGUUUUCUUCUCCAGCUUUUCCCAGGUGAGGCCAUUAAUGCCUCCACCCAUAGGCUUAACCCUGCCCUGUUUCUGAGCCAACUCUAAAGUGAGGAAUAGGACUAAAGAGGUGGUGGGUGAGUUGCAUGCAGGAUACCAAAGGAUAAAUCCUGGGGGCUUCCAGAAGUUCCAGAGGAAUUACCUAGAAGGCAUCAUUCCAAGGAGGAAAGAGGCCAAAGCAUCACAUAGACUUCAUAAAACAAGGGACCUUGCCUAUCUUAUUCCCCACUGUAUCCCCAGUACAAAAAAUUAUGUCUGGCUCAUGUAACAUUGGAAGCCAUAUGAUGAGAUAGUAGUGUCACGAGAUAGAAGAAAAUGGGAUCUCUAAGUCACUGGAUGUAGGAGGAUUCCCACUGACUUGACUUUGGUGAGUUCCCUGAGCCAAGCACUCCGCAGCUCCAUCGCAGCGUGGGCCUCUUGGAAAUUCGGUGCUAGUUCUCAAGGCCUCCUACCUGCUGAACCUUAGUCUUCAUUGCUGAAAUAAGAGCUGUCCUGCAAACAGAGUUUGGCGCUCGCUUUCUGGCCUCCGGCUGGUGGAGCAAGGACGUUUCCAGCACAUAAGAUUCCCCACUCUGUUAAAAAAAAAUGUGUUUAUACUUGGUCCCCUCUGAAGGCGGACGACACCCAUACUUUUGUCCCAGCCCAAUUUGCUGGCUGGGAUUUUUCUCAUCCUUUAAAUCCCGGGAAGCAAGGAACCUGCCCUCUGGCGCCAUCUACCGGCACUGUUUUUCGAGUCCAAGGAGCCCCCUGCGGAGUUGGGAUGUGUUUAGUAAUUGAUUGGAUGAAUCCUGCCACUUCGUUAGUAGAUUCUUAUUUUCUUCACGGACUCUUUACUAAUUAGUAAAGAGAUUAUAUAGCAAAUAUAUUAUCUUACUUUAAAGAGACCAGAGUCUCCUAUCUCUCGCUUCCCCCACCCCAUCAGUUGUGGCAUUCCUUCAUCUUUAAUUUCUUCCUUCGAAAAAUAUUUAUUUUGUUAUUGUAUAGAGAUCAGGGCAUGGGCCACACAGCUGCACACCUGAGCAAACAGAGGGGCUGACUGAUUUGCUGUUGUAAUGAAAAACAUUAGUUUUGGGUUCAUUACUGUGAUUCCACAAUGGGCACCAAAUCCCACUUAAGACCCACCGAAGAAGUCUUCAAAGGGACACGGUUUCAGGUCUGUGCCUGGUGAGCGUGCUGCCUCUUCGAAUCUUUGCACAGAAAUAACCUACGGUUGAAGACUCAGACCUGUCAGAUCAAAACCAACCCUGGCCUCCAGACCUUGAAACAAGUCAAAACAGUGAACCUUACUCAUCCGUUUUCAAAAUAUGGCCUGUUUUCUUUACAAAAUGCAGCAAAGCCUCUCAGAUGGGCGCUGGCUGCAAUAUUUGAUAUAUUAGGGAGAAUCCUGACUCCUUCCAGGUUUCUGCCCAUCUGUUUUAAAUCCAAAUGGCUUGGCAGAGGAUGGUUUUUAGUUAUGUAUUUUUUUCAUUUCAAAUGGAAUUUAAAACAGCAGGGGCAGAAAGCCCAGAUAUGGAUGAGAGAGAAAAUAAAAAGGCCCCUGUAAUUCCCCAUUCGCCUUCUACAUGAAGGAAAAAAUAUCGGCAUUUGUUGUAAACCUACUAUGUGUCAAGGUAUCACUAGGGAGUGUGAUGUUGCUGAGCCAUUGGAAUUUUAUAAAAUUUUAAAUGUUUUUCAUUUUCUUCUUCAGAGGUGGUUUGAUUUCAUGAUCAAGAGCUUGAACUUAAAGUCAAAUCCUUCUCCUGCCUCCUGCAGUCAUGGGGCCUUAGCUAUUCUCUGUAAUGACUCUAGGUCUCAGUUUCCUUGCCUGAGAACAGGCCUGUGAUAAUUACCUUGAUGGGCUAUUGUCAGUUUUAAAUAAGGUAGUGCAGAGGCAACUACCACAGGAAUGGUUCUGCCUUAAGAAUGAACUACGUGUGCAUGUGUCUUUAUAGCAGCAUGAUUUAUAGUCCUUUGGGUAUAUACCCAGUAAUGGGAUGGCU